rnacentral:lncRNA from 1 species
AAUGAAAUUAAUACUUUAUGUCGAAUUAAACUGAGUGAACGUCAAGAUAAAUUAUAAAAAAAUAACAAAAAAUAAUAAUACUUGGAAAGAAGGCAGAAAUGACAAUAUAUAAUGGUCCGGAUGGAGUUUACAGAAUAAUGAUUAAUGAGAUAACCAUACAGAAUAAAGGGUAAACACUAUAAAGAACACAGAAAAAUAGGCAAAAAAAAAAAUAAAGAAAAGAAAUUAAUUGUGAGCUGAAUUAUAAAGAACGAAGUAAAAUAACAACAGUACUGAAAUCCAAGGAAAAUUCAACACGAAAAGUCAUUAAUCUAAUGGCAUAAUGGAAAACAGACCAAACGAAUGGAAAACAACUGUCAUAUUCCUGAUGGUAUAGACAUGACCUUAUAUUAAACAUGAUUGAUUAAAGAAGGUUUAAUGGAUAAACCAUUCUCUUGUAUGAAAGUCGCAUGGAAUAUGUACCAUUCAUUAUUUUAUAUCUGCAACUAUGUAUGGAC